rnacentral:pre_miRNA from 1 species
UCUUAUGAAUAUGCAAAGAAAGUGGUUUCUUAGAAUGGAAUCUAUUCCUGGUGAAGAUGCUGUGAG